GACGAACGCUGGCGGCGUGCCUAACACAUGCAAGUCGAGCGGAGAUACAGGGAACGGAGGCUUCGGCGGAAGGGAGCUGUAUUUUAGCGGCGGACGGGUGAGUAACGCGUGAGCAAUCUGUCCCUGACAGGGGGAUAACACUUGGAAACAGGUGCUAAUACCGCAUAAGACCACGGUAUCGCAUGGUACAGGGGUCAAAGGAGCGAUCCGGUGAGGGGUGAGCUCGCGUCUGAUUAGAUAGUUGGUGAGGUAACGGCCCACCAAGUCAACGAUCAGUAGCCGACCUGAGAGGGUGAUCGGCCACAUUGGAACUGAGACACGGUCCAAACUCC
rnacentral:rRNA from 1 species